CUAUACAUGCAAGUCGAGCGAGAAGACGUAGCAAUACGUUUGUAAAGCGGCGAACGGGUGAGGAAUGCAUGGGUAACCUACCCUCGAGUGGGGAAUAACUAGCCGAAAGGUUAGCUAAUACCGCAUACGAUUCCCGGACUGCGGUUCGGGAGGGAAAGCGAUACCGUGGGUAUCGCGCUCUUGGAUGGGCUCAUGUCCUAUCAGCUUGUUGGUGAGGUAAUGGCUCACCAAGGCUUCGACGGGUAGCUGGUCUGAGAGGACGAUCAGCCACACUGGCACUGCGACACGGGCCAGACUCCUACGGGAGGCAGCAGUAAGGAAUAUUGCGCAAUGGACGAAAGUCUGACGCAGCGACGCCGCGUGGGGGAUGAAGGUCUUCGGAUUGUAAACCCCUUUCGGCAGGGAAGAUGGAACGGGUAACCGUUCGGACGGUACCUGCAGAAGCAGCCACGGCUAACUUCGUGCCAGCAGCCGCGGUAAUACGAAGGUGGCAAGCGUUGUUCGGAUUCACUGGGCGUACAGGGAGCGUAGGCGGUUGGGUAAGCCCUCCGUGAAAUCUCCGGGCCUAACCCGGAAAGUGCAGAGGGGACUGCUCGGCUAGAGGAUGGGAGAGGAGCGCGGAAUUCCCGGUGUAGCGGUGAAAUGCGUAGAGAUCGGGAGGAAGGCCGGUGGCGAAGGCGGCGCUCUGGAACAUUUCUGACGCUGAGGCUCGAAAGCGUGGGGAGCAAACAGGAUUAGAUACCCUGGUAGUCCACGCCUUAAACUAUGGAUACUAAGUGUCGGCGGUUUACCGCCGGUGCCGCAGCUAACGCAGUAAGUAUCCCGCCUGGGAAGUACGGCCGCAAGGUUGAAACUCAAAGGAAUUGACGGGGGCCCGCACAAGCGGUGGAGCAUGUGGUUU
rnacentral:rRNA from 1 species